rnacentral:ncRNA from 2 species
AGAAGAAUGUGGGGGAGCUGGUAUUUGCCAGCUGAGAUUGUAUCCGAUAGAUACUAACCCUUUGAACCUGAUUUGGUUAAUACCAGCGUAGGGAACAUCGACUUUCAAAUU